UGUCUGGACUGAUGCAGCUGCAACUGGAGCAAAGAGAUGCUGCAAGAAUUCAACGUAUUCACUGUAGUGUAAUUCAAUUCAAAUGUAGUGUCUGGAGCUGAGGUUGGUGGAGGAUUGCUGCCCCCUGCUGGAAUGAAUAGGCAAGAUAUCUCCUCCUGUUCUCUAGUGCCAUCUGAGGGUAGAAAAGGAAAGAAAAUGGGGUGGAGGAAAAAGGAAAUAGCAACACAUGUGUUGCCUUCACCUUGUUCUCCUCUGACUUCUCAAGCUGACAUUCUCCGUGCACCUGGAUAUAGCUGUGGAUUUAGAUAACUCUCUCUCUUCCCCUCCUGACCUUUAUUAUGGCUGCGAAAUUCUCUGCGCAAGGGAUAAAUAAUGCAUGUUUUCAGUCAAGAGACGCAAGAACUCGAGCAAACACCGCAGCGACGAGGGAGCAGCAUCUGUCUCCAGAGCAGGUUUUAUUUCCAACCCACUUCACCCUACCCUCUGCCCUCACCCCUGCCAUCGGGCCGAAAAACUCAGAAGCAGGGAGCUAACAGAGCGCAGGGUUGGGGCUCCAGCUUGCCCUGAAAAAUGUUUACAGGGUUGAGGAGUUGGCUCUGUCAGUCAAGUUCGUGUCUCAGAAAGCAGAAGAUCUGAGUCCGUGUCCCCAGCGUCCAUGGAAAAGACUGGGUGCACAGGAGCUGUGCUAACAGUCCCAACCUUCGGGGAGGUGGAGACAGGACGGUCCCUAGGGCUUGCUGGCCAGCCAGGCUAGCCAAACCAGCAAACUUGGGGUUCGGUGCGAGAGCCUGUCUCAGAGCAGAAAGGUGAAGAGGCAUAAAAGAAGACACUUCUCUGGCCUGAACAUGCACACACAGGCCUUCACUGCAGAACCCGGGUACAUCUUGGCAACUCUUUACCCAAGGUUUGGCAAGUUUGUGGACGUAUGUGCAAAGGAAAUGUAACUACAUUGUGGGGACAGACAGAAAGAAAACAGGAGGUCUAUCCUGGCUAGUCAUUCUGGCUCCAGACAUGUGUCUGGACAGGGGCAGGAGGUAGAGUUGCUUCCUAGGGAGUCUAGCUUUACCUCUGAGCUAAGGCUUGACUUUGGAUCCUCCAGGCUGACUGCUCUAGCAGCAUGGGAAACAAAAGCCUCCUGGGUCACCUGUGUAGUGGGAGGCUUGCCAAAUUAGAGCCCAUGGCUCCUUGCCGUUUACAGCAGGGAUGGAGGAAGGCACAGCCUUGAAUGCCAAGUUCAGCAUUUAAAUCAAAUUCAGAGUCAACUUUCACACAGAUGCCUUCCAUCCUGUUCACGUGGGCACCUGUUCUAGCUCUUAUUUGUACCCGUACUUCUCUGAGGUGUGGAGGACAAUGACUGUUUUCUGGUUGAUGGCUUAAAUAAGGACCCAGGUACUUCACCCUCAAAUGUUUGGAUUAGAAAAUGAGAUGGGAAAGAAAAUGAUUGUAGAGCAAAGACGCCAGCUUGGCUCCUGUGUCUGUGGGAGGAAGUUGGAGGCAGUAACAGAAAUGAAGUUUGGGGACUGUUUGCUCAUUUACACAUUGUCUCAGACUCCCCAAUUACACACCUAAUUAAGAGUUGGACAAUUAAACGCACAGUUUAAAUGUAUGAUCAGGGAGUUUGGGAUUAACACUCAGAUCAGGGAAGAGGCACAUCUGAGCCUUGGAAGAAAAUAUGGGAAGGACUGUUCCCAUGCGGUAUCUUUCAGAGCUCAAGUUGUGGCUGCUUUUCUAUGGAUAUCUCUGUUACCUUCUCGAAAUUCCUUCCAGUAACCCACAUCUCCCUGUCUCUAAAACCACUAAAUGUCAUAAGUGGAAGAGUAAGAACGGAGAGUCCAGGAAGGGAGCCAACUGCUCACAUUUGGUUUAGGACUGGCCAGGCCUGGAGGCACCCAGCUUAUCUUCUUUCUCUAUCCCAGCCUUGGUUCCUUUGUCGCUCUCAUCCUGGGAAGCCGUGAGGAUUGUUGGUGCUUGUGUGUUCACACUCGCUUGAGAAGGUGCACAGGUGUAUGCAGGUCGAUGUUGGAUGUCUUCCUCAAGCACCCUUUACUUCUGGAGAGAGGUCUCUGUUGCAGUCAGUUUGACUCGGCUGGCCAAUGAGCUCCAGGGAUCUGUCUCCACCACUGUAGCACUGGGAUUACAGGCAUGAGCAUCAUCACGGGGCUUCUUAUGUGGAUGCUGGGAAUCCUAACUAGGAUCCUCGUGCAUGAGGAGGAGACAUCUUAUAGACUGAGCCAUCUCUCCAGCUCUGAGUGAUGUUGUUAGUCUGACCCACCAGACAGUGGUUACAGCCAUCUGUUCUUUGGCCUAUGGGAAGAUGAUCUCGGUUAGAUGUAUGCCUGGCCCAUCAAAGCCCCAGGAUGGCUUUACUAUAGACACUAAAUGGAUUUUUGUAAUCACUGAAAGUCUUUUCCUUGCUCUUGCUUCACCAGGUGUUUCAGAAUUACUAGUUUACAAAGCAAAUGGGUUGAGAGGGGAAUCAACCUUCUUCAUGUAAAGGGCCUGUGGCUGAGCUGAAUGAAAGUGAGGUAACCUGUUGGCCAGGCUGAGGAAAUUAAAAGCCUUGGGGUUUUUCGUGAGAACCAGGAAAAUCCUUGACUCCAGAUGCGAAGGGUAGUUGGAGAACAUGCUCAGGAGUUGCCCAGGGAAGCUGCAUGAUCAGCUUCUCUCAUACUUGCUUCCCAUUAGCUGUAGCCUUGCCAUCUCCAUGGCAACCCAGGAGCUUCAUGGGUUUCAUUGAACCAUUGCUGGGGGAGAUAUGGAGGAACCAGAUGGGCUAGGUAGGUACAGAGGCUGGGAUGUGCGAGUCUGCAGAGUUUUAUCCCUAAAGAAACUUGUAACCAGCUCGUCCCAAAAGUGGAUGCAGCAGUGUAAGGAACAGCUAUUUAGUUGAUGACCUCAAGGUAGUGGGUACCAGUCCUGAGUCACAGGGAUUCAUGAUGCGUCAAAGACGUCUGCACUAGAUGGACUCUCUAUCUCAGCUUUGUACUGUAACCUUGUGGACCCACCUCCUGGCCCUCAUGACUGGCCCUCUGUGAGUUUUUCCUCAAGGCACCAUCAGAGGACAGGUUGGGUGCCAGGGUCAGCGAGGAAUUAUACUUUUCCUUAGCUACUGGCUGAGAGA